UGGGGAAUAUUGGGCAAUGGGCGAAAGCCUGACCCAGCUACGCCGCGUGAGUGAUAAGGCCUUCGGGUUGUAAAACUCUGUCGUGAGGGAGGAAUUUUGACGUUACCUCACAAGAAAGCACCGGCUAAAUCCGUGCCAGCAGCCGCGGUAAUACGGAUGGUGCAAGCGUUGCUCGGAAUUACUGGGCGUAAAGCGAGUGCAGGCGGAUUAUUAAGCCAGAUGUGAAAGCCCGGGGCUCAACCCCGGAACUGCAUCUGGAACUGGUAAUCUAGAGGCAGUGAGAGGGAAGUAGAAUUCCUGGUGUAGAGGUGAAAUUCGUUGAUAUCAGGAGGAAUACCUGUGGCGAAGGCGGCUUCCUGGCACUGUUCUGACGCUAAAGCUCGAAAGCGUGGGUAGCAAACAGG
rnacentral:rRNA from 1 species